GUUGUGGUAGGUGCGGGUGUGGCCAGCUGCGGAACCAAAGUGUGACUGUUCCGCCACUCUCCACCAGAGGGAGCACAGAGGAGACUCAGCACGACUCACAAUAGGAGAGAUGGGCUGUGGCUAUGAGGAGUGGCUCUUCAUGCUGGAGGUGCACUUCAAGACCAUUCCUUCAGGUCACCUGGCAGAGUGGAUGCUAUUGGAAUCUCACCCUGGGGAAUCAUGGAGAAUAAAGAUGAGAUCAUGAGGAAGAAGAUGUGGAUGUCCACAUGUGCGAUCCCAAGAUCAGCUGCUUCCAGUACACGCUCCACCAGCUGAUGGUGUAGGCAGUGUUGAAGAGGCACCAGAAGAGGGCGCUCCCCCUGUGGCAACAGGAUGAGGAGAUCAUGACCAAGGCUAUGACCCAGUCUCCCAGAGUGGACAAUAUUUUACAGGAUCUGGAUAAGAUGUCCAAGGAGUUUGGACAGUUAGCAUAUGAUCUAAAGCACAAUAAGCAGCUGGUCAUGAAUGAAGCUGGAGAACUGGAGUGAGCUGGAGUGACUACACCUGUCGCCCACACCUGCAGUCAAAUGCUCCUCAGGGACAUGAGUACAGGCAAGAGCAGUGGCUUCAAAGCACAUCACACACACCCUGUAACACACACAUACAAACAUAUAUGAACACACCCUGUAACACACACAUACAAACAUAUAUGAACACACCCUGUAACACACACAUACAAACAUAUAUGAACACACCCUGUAACACACAUACAAACAUAUAUGAACACACCCUGUAACACACACAUACAAACAUAUAUGAACACACCCUGUAACACACACAUACAAACAUAUAUGAACACAC
ensembl:lncRNA